rnacentral:rRNA from 1 species
GUUAGGAAUAUUGGACAAUGGGCGAAAGCCUGAUCCAGCCAUGCCGCGUGAACGAUGAAGGCCUUCGGGUUGUAAAGUUCUUUAGCCGAUGAUUAUAAUGACUGUAGUCGGAAAAUAAGCCCCGGCUAACUUCGUGCCAGCAGCCGCGGUAAUACGAAGGGGGCGAGCGUUAUUCGGAAUCACUGGGCGUAAAGCGUGCGUAGGCGGUUUUGUAAGUUAGGAGUGAAAGCCCAGGGCUCAACCUUGGAAUUGCUCUUAAAACUGCAAGGCUCGAAUCUCGGAGAGGAUAGCGGAAUUUCCAGUGUAGCAGUGAAAUGCGUAGAUAUUGGAAGGAACACCAGUGGCGUAAGCGGCUAUCUGGACCGAUAUUGACGCUGAGGCACGAAAGCGUGGGGAGCAAACAGGAUUAGAUACCCCUGUAGUCC